rnacentral:rRNA from 1 species
UACGGAGGAGGCAAGCGUUAUCCGGAAUUAUUGGGCGUAAAGCGUCCGCAGGUGGCACCUCAAGUCUGCUGUCAAAGACCGGGCUUAACCCAGAAAGGCAGUGGAACUGAAGUGCUAGAGUGCAGUAGGGGUAGAGGGAAUUCCCGGUGUAGCGGUGAAAUGCGUAGAGAUCGGGAAGAACAUCGGUGGCGAAAGCGCUCUGCUGGACUGCAACUGACACUCAGGGACGAAGCUAGGGGAGCGAAUGGG